rnacentral:rRNA from 1 species
UGAGUAACACGUGUGCAACCAACCCCGUACCCGGGAGAUAACCCGCGGAAACGUGGACUAACAUCCCAUGAUAUGGGCGCUCCGCAUGGAGAGUCCAUUAAAGAGAGCAAUCUUGGUUACAGACGAGCAUGCGCUCCAUUAGCCAGUUGGCGGGGUAACGGCCCACCAAGGCGACGAUGGAUAGGGGUUCUGAGAGGAAGGUCCCCCACAUUGGAACUGAGACACGGUCCAA